UACAGAGGUCUCAAGCGUUGUUCGGAUUCAUUGGGCGUAAAGGGCGCGUAGGCGGCAAUUCAAGUCAGCUGUGAAAUCUCCGGGCUUAACUCGGAACGGUCAGCUGAUACUGCUUUGCUAGAGUGCGGAAGGGGCAAUCGGAAUUCUCGGUGUAGCGGUGAAAUGCGUAGAUAUCGAGAGGAACACCGGUGGCGAAGGCGGCCUUCUGGACAGUGACUGACGCUGAGACGCGAAAGCGUGGGGAGCAAACAGG
rnacentral:rRNA from 1 species